rnacentral:rRNA from 1 species
GAUGAACGCUGGCGGCGUGCUUAACACAUGCAAGUCGAACGGAACGGCCCAAGCUUGCUUGGGUCGUCGAGUGGAGAACGGGUGAGUAACACGUGGGUUAUCUGCCAUGCACUUCGGGAUAAGCCUGGGAAACUGGGUCUAAUACCGGGAAGGACGAUGGGUUUGUUGCCAUUGCGGCAAGUUUUUUCGGUGUGGGCUGAGCUCGUGGCCUAUCAGGUUGUUGGUGUGGUACUGGGCUACCAAGGCGUCGAGGGGUAGCCGGCCGGAGAGAGUGUACGGCCACAUGGCACAGUAGAUACGGGCCACGCUCCUACGGGAGGCAGCAGGGGGGAAUAUGGCACAAUGCGCGAUGGCCGGAUGCAGCAACGCCGCGUGGGGGGUGACUGCCGUCGGGUUGUAGAUUCCAAUCGCCAUGGACGAGGCGUUUUUGUGACGGUACCUGGAGAAGAAGCACCGGCUAACUACGUG